UUUAUGCCAUUCUUGGGAUUUUCUACAAAGAUGAUCAUGUUAUUUACAAAUAAAUAUUUUAAUCUUUUUCUUUCCCUAUCUGUAUCCAUUUUACUCCCUUUGUCUUACUGCAUUAGCUGGGACUUCUAGUACCAUGUUGAACAAGAGUGGUGAGAGGGGAUAGCCUUGCCUUGUUGCUGAUCUUAGGGGAAAGCAUUUCGUUUCUCACCAUUUGUUGCUGCAAAUGGCAUUAUUUCAUUAUUUUUUAUGGCUGAGUAGUAUUCCAUUGUAUACAUAUACCACAACUUCUUUAUCCAUCAUCUGUUGAUGGACAUUUAGAUUGCUUCCAUGGCUUGGCUAUUGUAAACAGUGCUGCUAUGAACAUUGAGGUGCAUGUAUCUUCUUGAAUUAGAGUUUUCUCCAGAUAUAUGCCCAGGAGUGGGAUUGCUGGAUCAUAAGGUAAGUCUAUUUUUUUGUUUUUCAAGGAGCCUCCAUACUAUUUUCCAUAGUGGCUGCAUCAAACUACAUUCCCACCAACAGUGUAUGAGGGUUCCCCUUUCUCCACACCCUCUCCAGCAUUUAUCGUUUGUGGGCUUUUGAAUGAUGGCCAUUCUGACUGGUAUGAGGUGAUACCUCACGGCAGUUUUGAUUCACAUUUCUCUGAUAAUUAGUGAUAUUGAGCAUUUUUUUCAUGUGCCUAUUGGCCAUCUCUAUGUGUUCAUUGGAGAAAUAAUCUGUUUAGGUCUUCUGUUCAUUUUGGGGGGGGGUUGUUGUUGUUAUUGAUUUAUAUGAGCUAUUUGUGUAGCAUUUUCUCUUACCACCUUUUGAACUUGGAGUCUAGUAGACUGGUGAGCUCUAUUUUGUUAUUCGUUCUUUCAGGGGAUUUCUCUUGCUCUUUCAAUUAGUUCCUCUGCAUUUUCUUUUUGGUUAGCUUUUUCUAUCUCUGUGAAUUUAUGAGAACUAGUUACCUAUUGUGGUCUUGAAGGGGCAUUUUUAUAUGGGAGCAUCCCUGUGUGGACUGUGUGUGUCCAGUGUCUGUUGUGAAGGCUAGUUUGAUGUGGAUGCCAGCCAUGUCUUUCCUCAGGGUCCCAGCUGCUACCACUUUGAUAGGGGACGUGGUUGGUGUUGGUGGAUCUAGAUUCCAUGCAGAGUGUGAGGCAGGACUUCCUCUCCGCUUCCUCUCUGCUGUGGCCACCCUGUCAGGGGUGGCGUCUGCUCCCCAGUUGUUGGAGUAGAAGCCCUGAGAGUCAGCAUGAUCAGGUUCCGUUUCCCUUGAGUGCCCUAAAGGAGGAGAGUGCUGAAGCCAGUGAAGCCUGUGGACUCAGAGGUCCAGCACGCUGCCUGCAUAGGCAUCUGUGGCACUGCUCAGAUGCAGCCCAAGGUCACAUUCCUUCCCCUGUUGUGGUUGUACCAGAUCCAGUGCAAGGCUGUGGUGUGGAGUGGGCAGAGCCAGAGUGUUAGCUAGGCUGGGGCUUGAGGUGUUGUUGCUGCAGGAAUCAAGGUGACCUUGCUGCUUGCAUGGUCUCUGUGGCAGUCUUCUCCCAGGACCUGUCUCCCCCAGAUCCAGCACCAAGCUGUGGUGUGGAGUGAGCAGGACUGGGGUAUUCACCCUGCUCAGACUGGGGAGUGUGGUGAGGCGCAGCUGCAGGUGCAGAGCUCUCUUUGCCCUGAUUGUUGGCAACCAGCACCCACGCACUCUUCGUGAGUAGGAGUCUAGGCUUCUCCAGCCCAGCGGUUCUCCCAGCAGCCCAGGGAGCUUGUCUCCUCUGUAUAGGACCUCAGGACUGGGAUGCCCUGUCUGUGGCUUGACCUGCUUGCUCUCCAGGGCAAGGGUCCACCCAUGCGGACCUUCCUUCCUCCCUUUCAUAUCCCUCCCAGGGUUGGAGGUCCUGACCCUGUGUCUUUUUUCCAUCCUACCUGGUUAUGUGGAAAUCUUUCUUGCAGCUUUGGUUGUAUAGGAGUUUCUCUGCCAGUUUCUAGUCAUUUUCCCAUAAGAAUUGUUCUAGAUGUAGAUGUAUUUUUGAUGUGCUUGUGGGGGGACGUGAGAUCCAUGUCCUCCUAUUUUGCCAUCUUGAUCCAAUUGAAUCCCACAUUUCUGAUAUUUGUAAUUGUCUUUUAGUUUCAAUUGGUUGGCUUAGGUAGAAGUUAUCAGUUUACUCAAAAAUUCAGCUUUUGUUUUUGUUGAUUUUUUCAUGUUGUUUUCCUGCUUUUAAUUUUACUGAUUUCUGCCCUAUUUUUUCUUUCCUUCUGCAAUUACUUUGGACUUACUUUGUUUUUUUUUGUUUCUUAAAGCAAAAGCUUAGAUUUUUUAUUUUAGAGCUUUUGAUGCAUUUAAUCCUACAAGUUUCUCUCUAAAGACUGCUUUUGCAGCAUCCCACAAUUUUGAUAAGUUGCAUUUUCACUUAGUUCAAAGUAUUUCUCUUGAGAUUUCUUCUUUGACCCAUGUGUUGUUUAGAAGUGUGUUGUUUAACCACCAGGUACUUUGGGACUUCCCAGCUAUCGUUCUGUUGAUUUUCUAGAUUAAUUCCAUUGUAGUCUGAGAGCAUACUUAGCGUUUCUAUUCUUUUCAAUUUGUUAAUGUGUGUUUUAUGGCCCAGAAUGUGGCCUAUCUUGGUGACUGUUCCAUGUAAGCAUGAAGAAUGUGUAUUCCGUUGUUAGAUGAAGUACUUGAUAAAUGUCAAUUAGACCUAGUCAUUGAUAGCACUGUUCAGUUCAAGGAUGUCCCUGCUGAUUUUCUGCCCGCUGGGUCUGUCAGUUACUGAUGGGAAGAUGUUGCAGUCUUCACCUGUUAGAGUGGACUUGUCUCUUCCUCCUUACUGUUCUGUUUUUGCCUCAUAUAUUUGAUGCUUGGUUGUCAGGUGCAUACACAUUAGUCAUCUUGAACUGACCUCUUUAAUAUUAUGUAAUGCCUCUCUUUAUACCUGAUAAUGUUCCUUGCUCUAAAGUCUGCUUUGUCUAAAGUUAAUAUAGCUACUCCAGCUUUCUUUUGAUAGCGUUACCAUAUCUUCCUCUAUACCUUUAUUUUUAAUAUGUCUACAAGAAACCCAUUUUAAAGACAACAUAUAGUUGGGUCUUGUAUUUUAAUACACUGACAGUCUUUGUCUUUUAAUUGUUUAGAACAUUGACAUGAGAAGUGAUCACUGAUACCGUUUAGUAUCUACCACGUUUGUUACUCUUUUGUUACCCUUGUUCUCUGUUCCUAUUUCUGUCUUUCACUUUCUCCGUGGGAGGAGAGGAAUGUUAAGUAUGGAAAGAAGGGUAUGUGUGCAUCUUGAGCAUCCAGAGUUGAACUGUUGUGUGCCUGUCUUUCUUAGGUGGCUUCCUAUUUGGGGGAAAUUCUCUAUUGAGUGCAUCUUUGUGGGGAUUAAUGCAGUUUCCCACUGUAGAAGCUAAAAUGAGCCAUCCUCCUUCCCAUCACUCUUGGUCAUCUGCAAUGUGGGACGACGACCUGGGCUUGGCCAAAUGGGCAUUCCCAGGCAGGCCUUUGAGUCUCGAUGAAAUGACAAAGCAAUUAAACUUUAAUCACAGCAGUGGGCUAGUGACAUUGUCUUGAAGAAACUUAGAAAUCUUUAAGAAAAGCAGAUUCUUGUAAAAAUCCUUGUUGACUUGUACCUGAGUCCAAAUGCUACCCAUUGUGAUGUCAAGCAAAUGUCUUUGUGUAACUGUCUCACAGAUGGUAACAAUUUAUGAGAAGAACCAGCGAAACCUCGAGCUGAACCCUAGUACUAGCUGUGCUGCGUGGGGCAAAUCCCUUCACCUCUCUGAGCUUCUGUCUUCAUUCAGCUCACAGAUGCUGGGAUAAAAUUAGGGAAUGUUUAAUUCUUGUCAUCUACUGGAGACCACCGUGAGACCCGAGGCAGUGGGAAUUCUACUGGCUGGAGUCAUCAUCUUGUCCUGACGACGCAAGAGUGCACAGAAAGCUCCAAGGAGACUGAGAAGAAAUGCUGGCUUUCCUCAGAAUGAAGUUUACUCUUAAAUACUUCCAGCCACACACCAACCAUCCACCAAGCAGAAAGAAGUGGUCCACAGAGCAAACAAUUUGAGAGACACAAGCUCCAGCACAGAAAACCAGUGGCAUCAAACUGUGUGCUGUGGAAGACAGAUGCCCACAUGAACAUUAGCAUCUGAUGAGAAGUACUAAGUGGCAAGACACACUGCAUCUGAUGUGUACUAAUACUAGUAAGUUGUGAACAUUUAUCCUUUAAGCUGCUAGUGGAACCAAACCUACAUGUCAAUUAUCAAAAUUUUAACACCAGUCUAGGAAAAUAGAGAGAGAACAAUCAUUAAAACAGUAUCAACCCGUCUCUGAAGGAAUAUUCACAUACUGGAGUGAGGAAAAGGGAGCAGAAAUAAUCAUUUAAAAAACUAGUGAUAAUACAAAAUUCCUCCAGAAAGCAGGAGGGAGAGAGGAAUCUGUAGCAAAUUCAAACCUAGUCUUACUCUGUAACUGUUCCAUGGGUCUAGCUGCCAUUUUGUUCCAACUACUCAAAACGGCUUCAAAAAUGAACUAAGUUACUUCACCUCCAUGAGGCUGCUAUGAUAUUUCUACCUUAUAAAAUGGGACUAACCCCAGAAAGCAACACACCUGCAAACUGUUUGUGGAUCAAACUAUCACAACCCCAUAAUGAAAUACAUUAUUGGGACAUUUUAAUGUCAACAGGGCUGUUUUCCUUAAAGGAGGGCAAACACAAGCACACAUGCAACCAUUUCAAUUAUCUGACACUUAUCAACACUACGGGUAAAUGAAAUUAAAAGGUCUCACAAGAAAAGGGGUCAACUAUUCCCUGAUGACACACUAAAGUUCAUGAAGACUCAAUCACAAAUUAAAAACAAUUAAAAAAAAAACUCAAGAGACGAAAGUCGUAUUACUAAUUUAAAAUAAAACUCUUGGAACAUAAGACAGAACCACUGUUACUUGUAGUUAAUGAAAUAAAUGUGUACACUCAGCAGACAACACUACCUGAUUCCACACCAAAGCUACAAACAAAGCCAGUUUGUACUUACCUCUAAAACGACACUACGAGUGGGGUGUCAGGUGUUAAAGCCUCUUAGAGGUUAUGCCUCUGGGACCAUCUUGGCUGUUUCCAUGUCCCUCAUAACCACCCCACAGUCCCUGGGCUGCAGCAAGUUUCUUUCUCCUUUUUCUUUUUGGUUAAUGAUGUCACUCCCCAUGCUAUUUCUUGGGGAUGCCCUUCCCCUGAAAUCAGUAAUUUAAUUCACUUAAUAUUUUAACGAAUUUUUCCAAUUCUUUAAACAUUAAUGGAUCAAUAGCUUCAUUUCAUCCACAUGAAAUAACUUUUCUCAAAGUCAGUGCUUCUGGUCUGUGGUUCCUGACCCCCUUGCCCAAGCCUCCUGCUCGCCCCUUUCCCUGGUGAAGGCUGAAUUCAGACCGCCAUCCUCCAGUUUUCCCCUCUCUCUAGGUCUUGGUCUCUGUUCAUGAAGGCCCCCAUCUGGCAUCCAGGCACAGGACAUGGUGGGGGGCCUGCAGAGGGAUAGCAAGCGUCCUUUAAGUGUUUCUUCAGGUAUCAUGUGCAGUCCCGGGACCUCUAGACUUUCAUCUCAACACACAGGAAAGGUCACGGUGGGCAUUUCCUCAAAAUACGAGUGUGCAAAUCCAGAGCACAAUCCGAUCCCUCACCUUCAGGAUACUCCAAGACCAGACAGGCCUACCAACGAUAACAGGACAAAGAUGGUUUACUCGCACAAAUCCUGCCCCGUUCAGUCAUUACAAAGACGAUACCACCUUUCAGCUCCUCAGAGAGUAGCCCAAGGAAGGGACUCACUAGCAGUUUCUGUCUAGGGCCAACGUCAUAAAAAAAUACCACCUGCCUCACUUUUGGUAGUAACUUGUCAGCUUGCCGGAAGCCUCUGCAAGGAGACCAACGACUGAACACACCGUGGAACCUGAACUACCUUCUCACCGUUGGCAGCAAGGCCCCAAAGUACAGGACUGAAUCAUCUGGGAGGAAACAGCAUGGAGGAGUUCUGACCGAUGCUGCCCAUGCUGUAUCUGGUGUCUGGAUAAGGAAGAUCUUCAACUUUCAGAGUUGUGAAUAACUCAUUCUGUAACCUUGGCCCAGUCAUUUAAUCCCCUGUGCCUCAGUUUCCCCAUCAGUACAAACUAGAGAUAACACUUGUUUGUAAAGUGCUUUGAUAUACUUAGUUGAAGAAUAAAUCAUACAAAUGCAUGCUGUUAACAUUUUCUAAAAUUAAAAAAAAUUUUCAGUGUUGGCUUACAAAUUUAUAAAUGCCAGCCCCAACAGUAUUCUCUCAGAUGCUUGGAGCACCUUUCUUCUGAGAAGCUCAAAAUACAAUUUUCUGUUUAGGUUACUUGGAAGUAUCCAAAGACACUAAGAAACCAAAACACAUUUUAUCUACUCUACAUUCUUGCCUACCGUUUAAGAAGAGCAAAAUACUUCAAGUGGCCCUUUUAUUCCUAUGAUACCUCAACAAGGAAGGGAAGAGCAAGCUAUGAAACUGAGGAAUAGAGAUUUAAAACGACUUGGCCAACUAAUUACAGAUGAUGUUUAUUCUUUGUGUGUGUGUAUACAUAUAUAUAUAUAUGUUUUUUAAACUGAAAUAUAGUAGAUGAUGUUUAUUCUUAUCACAGACUGACUGGGAAACCAGGAACAUGAGGGGGUGUGGAAGUCUCAAGCCAGGACAGUUUAAGCUAGUAAUAUUUGGUCAAACUGCAGUAUGGCAUGUAUGGUCUCCUGGCACUGACUUUUCAAAAUGACAGAAAUUUUAAAAAUUACCAAUGGCUUAAGAAAAAAGUAACAUACUAAACAUAUGUAUUUUUGGAAGUAGGCUGACUCCAAUAGGAGACUUCAGUAAAAAAAAAAACCAACUUGGUCACAUUCGUAAUAGUAGUACUAAUAAAACAAUGACAGAAUGCUACUUAAUCAAUCCAUAGUCCUCUUUCUCAUGAUUUCCUACUUGUUUAAGAAAAAGCUCUUGGUUAAAACACCCGAGGCCAUCUUCACCUGUUAAAUUAGCAAAGAUUCAAAACAAUAUGGAUGCUCAGUGCUGGUGAGGCUGCCGUGACGGGCAGGCCCGGACACUGCUGAUACAAGGGUAACUGGCGCAGCUUUUCCGCACAGUUAUUUGGCUACAUGCAUUGAGAGCUCCGAAAAUGUUCAUUCCUGCCAUGACACAUGAAUUUUACUUCACAGAACCUGUCCCAAGGAAUAAUAAAAAUGCAAACAAAGUUUUAUGUGCAUGGUAUCCAUCACAGGAUUAUACAGAACAGCAAGAAUUUAGAGACAACCUAGGAGGAAUGGCUGGGUAAAUCAGGAUACAGCCAUACAAUGGCUGUAUUUUAUGCAGCCAUUAAAUGUGAUUUAUGAGAAAGAUUCUACUGUAAUAGAAAAAAUACAUGAUAAAAAUUAAGUAGAAAAAGUGGGACAUAAAAUUGCACAUAAGACCUUGUCUGUGUUAAAAAGAUUCUUAAUGAUACUCCUUUUCUACUUUAUGCUUUUGGUAUUGCCUAAAUUUAUCUACAAUGAACCUGUAUUUAUUUUCUAAUUAGUCAAAAAGUUUUUUUUUUCUUUUAAGUUCUUGAACCUGUUAUGCUUGGUUGGCUAAAUGGAUAAGGCUUAAAAGCUUCAAGAUAACUUCCUCAUGUAUAAUUUCAGACAUUCUAAUUAAAAAGUCGUAAUAUUGAAAACUAUGACAAAGGGUAGCUGAGAGUUCAGAAAAAUAGGAACCCUUAAACAUGGCAGGUGAAAACAUAAAUAAAUAUUAUUUGUUUAGAGAGCAAUGGAAACCAAAAGGUAGUGACAGUUAAAAACAUGCACAGGUGACCCUCCAUGCGGAAACAACUAUGGGACUCGGGCAUCCGUAGAUCUGGGUAUUAGCAGCGGGUCCUGGAACCAAGCCUGCAUAUAUUCUGAGGGACGGCUGUAUACACUUUGACUCCAGAGGUCCAUUUCCAGGAAUCUGACCUAAGAUUUACAUAAAGGAUACUCGUCACAGUGUUAUAGAUGCAUAAAACAGUGGAAAACCAGACAACUGAAAUGUCUUGCAACAUGGUUUUACUUAUGCACAUUAAAUAAUAUUUACAUGUGUGAACACUAUGUAGCUGUUAAGAGAUAGGUUGUAGGAGAACACACAAGACGAAAAAAAGGAUCAGGCUGUUAGGUGGAAAAAGGUUACAAAAUAGAAUGUACAAUAUGAAUCCAAGUUUGUAAAAAAGGUGGCGGAAGGCUAAAGAACUGCAUGCACAUGUGUGUGAAAAGAGGCAAAGUUUCAAAGUGCAAACAGUGCCAUCUUUAAUUUUUUUGUCCUUUGUAUUUUAAAAAGUACAAUAAAUAUGUAAAAUUUUUAUAAUCAGGAAUAAAUAUGUGCUAUUUUGAAACAUACAAAUUAAG